rnacentral:rRNA from 1 species
GGAGUUAGCCGGUGCUUCUUCUGCGAGUAACGUCACAGAUGUAAGGUAUUAACUUACACCCUUUCCUCCUCGCUGAAAGUGCUUUACAACCCGAAGGCCUUCUUCACACACGCGGCAUGGCUGCAUCAGGGUUUCCCCCAUUGUGCAAUAUUCCCCACUGCUGCCUCCCGUAGGAGUCUGGGCCGUGUCUCAGUCCCAGUGUGGCUGAUCAUCCUCUCAGACCAGCUAGGGAUCGUCGCCUAGGUGAGCCUUUACCUCACCUACUAGCUAAUCCCACCUGGGCUUAUCCAUCAGCGCAAGGCCCGAAGGUCCCCUGCUUUCCCCCGUAGGGCCGUAUGCGGUAUUAGCAGUCGUUUCCAACUGUUAUCCCCCACAAAUGGGCAAAUUCCCAGGCAUUACUCACCCGUCCGCCGCUCGUCAUCUUCAAAGCAAGCUUUGAAAUGUUACCGCUCGACUUGCAUGUGUUAGGCCUGCCGCCAGCGUUCAAUCUGAGCCAUAAUCAAACUCUGA